rnacentral:tRNA from 1 species
CUGGAUGUGACUAAGGGGUAGAGUGCUUGCCUAGCAUGCACCAGGCCCUGGGUUCUAUCCCCAGCACCGCGA